AUGACCACGCAGGAUCUCUCAGAACUUGAGGCACCUUUCAAUGAGGACGAGAUAAAAGACGCGGUUUUUUCACUCCCUUCCGUAAAAGCGCCUGGCCCGGAUGGGCUCAUUGGAGCCUUCUUCAAAGCAUGCUGGGACAUCAUCCGGACCGACAUUGUUGACGCAACCCUUCAGCUUGCUAACCUUCGCGGCCACUGUGCCUCUCUCAUUAACUCCGCGAACAUCAUACUGCUCCCCAAGAAAGCCGACGCCUGUGUGGUUGGAGACUAUAGACCAAUCAUCCUGAUUCAUAGCCUGUCCAAGAUCUUCUCCAAGCUGCUAGCAAAUAGCCCCGCUCCUAUACUGCCCAGUUUGGUCUCCAAAUGCCAAAGUGCCUUCGUGAAGAAACGCUCCAUCCAUGACAACUUCCUGCAUGUUCAGAACCUCAUAAAGGACCUGCAUCCUUGGAACAUCCCGGGCCUCUUUCUCAAGGUCGAUAUUUCAAAGGCUUUUGACUUGGUAAAUUGGGCCUUCUUGCUCGAGGUCAUGCAACGCCUGGGAUUUGGACAACGUUGGCGGGACUGGAUCUGCCUCUCCUUGUCUUCUUCAUCAAGGGUGCUUCUUAACGGAAACCCCGGCAGAAAGUUCAGCCACGCAAAAGGCCUUCGCCAGAUGAGGAGCAAGAGUACUUUCCUAGCCAUGAUUCUUCCUGACUCGAUUCGGGGAUGGCAGUCGACUUGGUUCUAUUGUAAGGAUCAGCCGACCCCGGGUCAGUCGACAGGACUUCCUCCCUUUUCCUUGGCUCGAGUGGAGAACCCCGCCCCCCUGAAGGUAGUUCCAGAAGAGAAGGCGCAGGUCAAGGUGCUGGUCGAGCGGGUCGUCCAGCUUGUCCGCGACGGAGUGACCGGGAUGGACCUACUGGAGGUCUUUCUCGGUCGACGCAUCCAACCUCUUCAGGCGCGUGAUCAUCCGAUGUGGAUGUACUCUGGGAUCGAGGAUUCCACUCGGAUCCACGCGGAGGAUGUCAAUGAGGAUAUCUUGGAGAAGUGGUUGAAGGGAAUCACCGGCAACAAAGACAACCCCCGGGGGUCUAGGAGGGUGAUUCCAUUCGACAACUCGCAUCAGCCGGAGCAGGCCCUCAUCGACAUGUACUCAAUGCCCAAUGGAGUGAAAGGCCAAGACGCUGAGGAAGAAGUGAGCGGGGGCGAGAGCGGCGAGGAGCAUUCGGAAGCCGAUGAGGACGAGCCGAGAGCGAUGAAUCGACUGAUGACGAAGAAGUCGACUCGCCUCCUCAUAGGGAGAGGAGAUCCAAGCACGCUCACGACCCGACAAGCGCUCCGGACUUGGUGGCCACGCCAAUUGGGCAGUCGUCGAAGCGCCCCAGGACGUCUUCCCCAACGCCGACUGAGAAGGCUCCAAAGCAAUCCAAAGUUGCGCCACCUCCAGCGCCGAAAGCGCCGAAAGCCAUCUCUUCCAAACUGCCAAAAGCUUUGCCCAGGAUCAAAGUGA
rnacentral:rRNA from 1 species